rnacentral:miRNA from 1 species
AACCAUCGACCGUUGAUUGUACC